rnacentral:sRNA from 1 species
GCUGGGUAUGCUGCUGUAUGCCUGUAGUCUCAAUUACUCAGGAGGCUGAGGCAGGAGGAUUGCUUGAAAUAGGAGUUCAAAACCAGCCUCGGCAACAUAGUGAGAGCCUGUCAGAU